ACGAAAGUUUUGAUUUUUUUUUGACAAAACGGUAGGUUUGAUUUGAAAAAAAAAUCCAAAUGGUUCUUGAGUUAAAAUCAAACGGUAGGUUUGAUUCUCCAAACUCAAAAUCUUUCAAUCCCCAAAUUCUCUCUUUCUAUCUCUCUCACACUCCUUUGAAACACUAAUUCAGAGAUAGUUUCUUGAUUAGGGUUCUUUGUUAUCACUAUCGCUUCUUUAAUCUUUCAUUAUCACUAAUUCAUAAUCGAUUCAUUCUGCCCAAUUUGUUUUCUCUUUGCGACACUCUUUCCUUCUCCGUCAUUCAUCAUAACGCAACGCUAAAAAAACCUCACAACACGUUCGUGUAACUCGCUCACUCGAUUCGUUCGCGUAACUCGUUCUCUUCGGUUUCGAUUUUUUCAUCAUGCCGAAGGCUAAAGUUGAUUCCAAACCCGCCGAUAACAGGAAGGAAACAGAUGAGCAAAGCCGCUAAGGAUCCUACCAAGCCGAACAAGCUACCAAGGACAUAAUCCCAUCUUGAAUUCUGGGCAACACGAUGGGCUUGUGUGAACCUAGGAAUUUUCAUUUGCAUGCAAUUUUAGGGAUUCACCGGAGUCUAGGAGUGCAUAUAUCAAAGGACAUUACUUAAUUUUGAUUUGAUCGAUUAGCUCUUUCUUUACACAUGGAAGAUAUCGGUGCUGCCAAAUAGUGGCUAUAGCAGUAUAGCGUAGCAGAAUGUUAACAACUAUUGCUCCACGAUACGCGAUUCAGUACAAAGUGUUUUCAAGUAACUGCUUUAGCUGCACUAUAAACCUAUAACACUAGCAUAAUAUAGCGUAGCAGAAUGUUAACAACUAUUGCUCCACAAUACGCGAUUCAGUACAAAGUGUUUUCAAUGUAACAGGAAGGAAACAGAUGAGCAAAGCCGCUAAGGAUCCUACCAAGCCUAAGAAGCUACCACGGACAUAAUCCCAUCUUGAAUUCUGGGAUUCACCGGAGUCUAGGAGUGCAUAUAUUAUCAAAGGUUUAUAUACAUUUUUGUUCCUUCUCAGUUUAGAAAUUUUAUAAUGGCUGAACCUUCUGAUUUUGUUACAAGGUGAGGUCCACAACUUUGGAUACAUGGUUGCCAGAACAAGUUUCUUUCAUGAAAGGGAAGAAACUAUGGAAUCUAUUUCUUAAUUACUUUCUUUGUGAAAUGUACUAUUGAGCAAAUUAUUAGAUACACUGAGCAACUCUUUCUUUUUCUCCUAAAGGACAUUAUGUAAUUUCGAUUUGAUCGACUAGCUCUUUCUUUACUCAUGGAAGAUGUCGGUGUUGCCAAAUAGCGGCUAUAGCACUAUAGCGUAGCAGCAGAAUGUUAAUAACUAGCUGCUAUAGCACUAUAUUUUUUUAUUUUGAUUUUUAGGUUUUAGAUGAACAAUUUUCAUCAACAAUUUGUAAAGAAUGGUUUGAUCUGGUUUUUGAUUCGAUUUUUUUGUUGAAUUGUAACAGGAAGGAAACAGACGAGUAAAGUCGCUAAGGAUCCUACCAAGCCGAACAAGCUACCAAGGACAUAAUCCCAUCUUGAAUUCUGGGCACCACAAUGGGCUUGUGUGAACCUUGGAAUUUUCUUUUGCAUGCAAUUUUCAGGGAUUCACCGGAGUCUAGGAGUGCAUAUAUCGAAGGUUUAUAUACAUUCUUGUUCCUUCUCAGUUUAGAAAUUUUAUAAUGGCCGAACCUUCUGAUUUUGUUACAAGGUGAGGUCCACAACUUUGGAUUCAUGGUUGCCAGAACAAGUUUCUUUCAUGCAAUGGAAGAAACUAUGGAAUCUAUUUCUUAAUUACUUUCUUUGUUAAAUGACCUAUUGAGCAAAUUAUCAGAUACACUGAGCAAAUUAUGUGCUGGAUGUGUCCCUAAAUUGAGCGUAAGUCCGUCGGUGUCCCUAUAUUGAGCAUAUGUCCCUCGGUGUCGCUAAAUUAAGCAUAUGUCCCUCGGUGUCCCUAAAUUGAGCAUAUGUCCCU